rnacentral:rRNA from 1 species
ACGGGAGGCAGCAGUGGGGAAUAUUGCACAAUGGGGGAAACCCUGAUGCAGCGACGCCGCGUGAGUGAAGAAGUUAUUCGUAAUGUAAAGCUCUAUCAGCAGGGAAGAAAAUGACGGUACCUGACUAAGAAGCCCCGGCUAACUACGUGCCGGCAGCCGCGGUAAUACGUAGGGGGCAAGCGUUAUCCGGAUUUACUGGGUGUAAAGGGAGCGUAGACGGUUUUGCAAGUCAGAAGUGAAAGCCCGGGGCCCAACCCCGGAACUGCUUUUGAAACUGUAGAACUGGAGUGCAGGAGAGGUAAGUGGAAUUCCUAGUGUAGCGGUGAAAUGCGUAGAUAUUAGGAGGAACACCAGUGGCGAAGGCGGCUUACUGGACUGUAACUGACGUUGAGGCUCGAAGGCGUGGGGAGCAAACAGGAUUAGAUACCCUGGUA